rnacentral:rRNA from 1 species
UACGGGAGGCAGCAGUGGGGAAUAUUGCACAAUGGGCGCAAGCCUGAUGCAGCCAUGCCGCGUGUAUGAAAAGGCCUUCGGGUUGUAAAGUACUUUCAGUCGUGAGGAAGGUGUUAAGGUUAAUAACCUUAGCAAUUGACGUUAGCGACAGAAGAAGCACCGGCUAACUCCGUGCCAGCAGCCGCGGUAAUACGGAGGGUGCGAGCGUUAAUCGGAAUUACUGGGCGUAAAGGGCACGCAGGCGGUUAAUUAAGUUGGAUGUGAAAUCCCCGGGCUUAACCUGGGAAUGGCAUUCAAGACUGGUUAGCUAGAGUCUUGUAGAGGGGGUAGAAUUCCAUGUGUAGCGGUGAAAUGCGUAGAGAUGUGGAGGAAAUACCGGUGGCGAAGGCGGCCCCCUGGACAAAGACUGACGCUCAUGUGCGAAAGCGUGGGGAGCAAACAGGGAUUAGAUACC